GCUUCUCUCUCUCUCAUGAUAUCAUGGUGGUCUCGCCGAGCACGUAGCAAGCUCACGAACACGUAUAUAGGGUCCUGUGCUGAAGUCGGCUUGCUCACAUUGAAGUUGUGCAUCGAGGCGUAGCCCCUCUGCUGUGACCAUUGCAUUCGUGCAUCGUACACGAGACCUGUUGACGUUUGCAACACGCUACUCGUUCACGACAUAAACAUGAAGACGAUAGCCGCGUGCAUCGCCGCGAUCGUUGUUUUGGGAGUGCUUGCGGAGAUGAGCGGCGCCACGAUGACAACGGACCCGGAAUGCCACAGACUGCGAACUAAAGUGGAAAAAGUGCGCCCGUACUGCGUCUACCUGUGCCACAUGCCCGAAGGUUACAUCAAAAUGGGCUUGGAGGAAGACGGCACACCCUGCAGGUUCUUCGUGCACGAAGGCGUGUGCCAGAACGGUCUCUGCCUGUUGGACAAACCCAGAAAGGAUCGCCCGGCGAAAGGCGACGGUGACAAGGAAGGCGGCGCCGUGACGCCCAAGGCCGACGAGAGCAACGAGUGAUUCACGCGAGAUGCGAACAGCGUAACGGCACGCAGGCUUUGGCAGCAACUGACGUUUUCUUAUUUCUUUGUUGUCUUUCUUUACUUAGCUGAGACCAGUGAAAGCGAGAAGGUCUGUGAUAUACAUCUACAAAUUACGAGAACCACGCUGAACUUGUUAUAGCCGUUGCCUCUAUAUACGGCACGAGUGGGUCUGUUUGUUAUUAUAUACCUGGAUGUUUACAAAAUAGGCCUCACUGGAAAAAAACCGUGUUCCCUUGGCUUCGCGCGCCAUGUGCAGAAAGGAUUAUUUUGUGUGUGUGGAGAAAAAGCUAUGGAAGUAUCAGAUGCGCCGUGGAACAGUCUUGGUAAUACGAUUGUUGAGCGUUGCUUGUUUUUUUAUUACAUUAUAAAUCCGCCCAACAAGUUCGCAAAUGAACGAGAGAAGAAAACGUUGAAAUAAAUCAAAAUCAAGACGACAUCUUUUUCAAUGUCUUUGCGUUGCUUUGCUUUGGUUGGAUGUUGAUCACAGGUUCAAGCGAGCUUACAUUGCUUUUAAGCACUUUUAAUUGCCCGUGCUUACGUUGGGCAAAAAAAUAAAAUCGAGGUAUCACAGGAACAAACAAAAAUUAUUCCCAAUGCCCAACUUCAUACUUUUGAUGUGACGCACCAUGUUUUUGUUACGAUUCGAAUAAACAUUGCAACG
rnacentral:misc_RNA from 1 species